CCUACGGGUGGCAGCAGUGAGGAAUAUUGGUCAAUGGGCGGGAGCCUGAACCAGCCAAGUCGCGUGAGGGAAGACGGUCCUAUGGAUUGUAAACCUCUUUAGGCGGGGAGCAAUGCCGGGCACGCGUGCCCGGAGGGAGAGUACCCGCAGAAUAAGCAUCGGCUAAAUCCGUUCCAGCAGCCGCGGUAAUACGGAGGAUGCGCGCGUUAUCCGGAUUUAUGGGGUUUAAAGGGUGCGUAGGCGGAUUUUUAAGUCAGCGGUAAAAUGUCCGGGCUCAACCCGGGCCGGCCGUUGAUACUGGAGAUCUUGAGUGGGCGAGAAGUAUGCGGAAUGCGUGGUGUAGCGGUGAAAUGCAUAGAUAUCACGCAGAACUCCGAUUGCGAAGGCAGCAUACCGGCGCCCGACUGACGCUGAGGCACGAAAGCGUGGGGAUCGAACAGGAUUAGAUACCCGGGUAGUC
rnacentral:rRNA from 1 species